rnacentral:rRNA from 1 species
AGCGAACGCUGGCGGCAGGCCUAACACAUGCAAGUCGAACGAACCUUUCGUGGUUAGUGGCGGUCGGGUGAGUAACACGUGGGAACGUGCCGUUAGGUUCGGAAUAACUCAUUUAAACUUGUGCUAAUACCGAAUGUGCCCUUCGGGGGAAAGAUUUAUCGGCUUUAGAGGGGCGCGCGUAUGUUUAGCUAGUUGGUUGAGGUAAUGGCUCACCAAGGCGACGAUGAGUAGCUGGUCUGAGAGGAUGAUCAGCCACAUUGGGAAUUAGACACGGCCCAAACUCCUAGGGGAGGCAGGAGUGGGGAAUCUUGCGCAAUGGGGGAAAGCCUGACGCAGCCAUGCCGCGUGAAUGAUGAAGGUGUUAGGAUUGUGAAAUUCUUUAACAGGGGGCGAUAAUGACGGUACCCGGAGAAGAAGCACCGGCUAACUUCGUG